AUUGAACGCUGGCGGCGGGCCUAACACAUGCAAGUCGAGCGGAUGAAGGGAGCUUGCUCCUGGAUUCAGCGGUGGACGGGUGAGUAAUGCCUAGGAAUCUGCCUGGUAGUGGGGGAUAACGUCCGGAAACGGGCGCUAAUACCGCAUACGUCCUGAGGGAGAAAGUGGGGGAUCUUCGGACCUCACGCUAUCAGAUGAGCCUAGGUCGGAUUAGCUAGUUGGUGGGGUAAAGGCCUACCAAGGCGACGAUCCGUAACUGGUCUGAGAGGAUGAUCAGUCACACUGGAACUGAGACACGGUCCAGACUCCUACGGGAGGCAGCAGUGGGGAAUAUUGGACAAUGGGCGAAAGCCUGAUCCAGCCAUGCCGCGUGUGUGAAGAAGGUCUUCGGAUUGUAAAGCACUUUAAGUUGGGAGGAAGGGCAGUAAGUUAAUACCUUGCUGUUUUGACGGUACCAACAGAAUAAGCACCGGCUAACUUCGUG
rnacentral:rRNA from 1 species